UACGAAGGGGGCUAGCGUUGCUCGGAAUCACUGGGCGUAAAGCGCACGUAGGCGGAUUGCUAAGUCAGGGGUGAAAUCCUGGAGCUCAACUCCAGAACUGCCUUUGAUACUGGCAAUCUCGAGUCCGGGAGAGGUGAGUGGAACUGCGAGUGUAGAGGUGAAAUGCGCAGAUAUCAGGAGGAACACCGAUGGCGAAGGCAGCUCGCUGGGACGGUACUGACGCUGAGGCGCGAAAGCGUGGGGAGCAAACAGG
rnacentral:rRNA from 1 species